AUUGAACGCUGGCGGCAGGCCUAACACAUGCAAGUCGAACGGUAACAGGAAACAGCUUGCUGUUUCGCUGACGAGUGGCGGACGGGUGAGUAAUGUCUGGGAAACUGCCUGAUGGAGGGGGAUAACUACUGGAAACGGUAGCUAAUACCGCAUAACGUCGCAAGACCAAAGAGGGGGACCUUCGGGCCUCUUGCCAUCGGAUGUGCCCAGAUGGGAUUAGCUAGUAGGUGGGGUAACGGCUCACCUAGGCGACGAUCCCUAGCUGGUCUGAGAGGAUGACCAGCCACACUGGAACUGAGACACGGUCCAGACUCCUACGGGAGGCAGCAGUGGGCAAUAUUGCACAAUGGGCGCAAGCCUGAUGCAGCCAUGCCGCGUGUAUGAAGAAGGCCUUCGGGUUGUAAAGUACUUUCAGCGGGGAGGAAGGGAGUAAAGUUAAUACCUUUACUCAUUGACGUUACCCGCAGAAGAAGCACCGGCUAACUCCGUG
rnacentral:rRNA from 1 species